rnacentral:rRNA from 1 species
UACGGGGGGGGCAAGCGUUGUUCGGAAUUACUGGGCGUAAAGGCUUGUAGGUGGCCAACUAAGUCAGACGUGAAAUCCCUCGGCUUAACCGGGGAACUGCGUCUGAUACUGGAUGGCUAGAGAUUGGGAGAGGGAUGCGGAAUUCCAGGUGUAGCGGUGAAAUGCGUAGAUAUCUGGAGGAACACCGGUGGCGAAGGCGGCAUCCUGGACCAACACUGACACAUGAAAGCGAAAGCCAGGGGAGCAAACGGG